rnacentral:rRNA from 1 species
GAUGAACGCUGGCGGCGUGCCUAAUACAUGCAAGUCGAGCGAACGGACGAGAAGCUUGCUUCUCUGAUGUUAGCGGCGGACGGGUGAGUAACACGUGGAUAACCUACCUAUAAGACUGGGAUAACUUCGGGAAACCGGAGCUAAUACCGGAUGAUAUUUUGAACCGCAUGGUUCAAAAGUGAAAGACGGUCUUGCUGUCACUUAUAGAUGGAUCCGCGCUGCAUUAGCUAGUUGGUAAGGUAACGGCUUACCAAGGCAACGAUGCAUAGCCGACCUGAGAGGGUGAUCGGCCACACUGGAACUGAGACACGGUCCAGACUCCUACGGGAGGCAGCAGUAGGGAAUCUUCCGCAAUGGGCGAAAGCCUGACGGAGCAACGCCGCGUGAGUGAUGAAGGUCUUCGGAUCGUAAAACUCUGUUAUUAGGGAAGAACAUAUGUGUAAGUAACUGUGCACAUCUUGACGGUACCUAAUCAGAAAGCCACGGCUAACUACGUGCCAGCAGCCGCGGUAAUACGUAGGUGGCAAGCGUUAUCCGGAAUUAUUGGGCGUAAAGCGCGCGUAGGCGGUUUUUUAAGUCUGAUGUGAAAGCCCACGGCUCAACCGUGGAGGGUCAUUGGAAACUGGAAAACUUGAGUGCAGAAGAGGAAAGUGGAAUUCCAUGUGUAGCGGUGAAAUGCGCAGAGAUAUGGAGGAACACCAGUGGCGAAGGCGACUUUCUGGUCUGUAACUGACGCUGAUGUGCGAAAGCGUGGGGAUCAAACAGGAUUAGAUACCCUGGUAGUCCACGCCGUAAACGAUGAGUGCUAAGUGUUAGGGGGUUUCCGCCCCUUAGUGCUGCAGCUAACGCAUUAAGCACUCCGCCUGGGGAGUACGACCGCAAGGUUGAAACUCAAAGGAAUUGACGGGGACCCGCACAAGCGGUGGAGCAUGUGGUUUAAUUCGAAGCAACGCGAAGAACCUUACCAAAUCUUGACAUCCUUUGACAACUCUAGAGAUAGAGCCUUCCCCUUCGGGGGACAAAGUGACAGGUGGUGCAUGGUUGUCGUCAGCUCGUGUCGUGAGAUGUUGGGUUAAGUCCCGCAACGAGCGCAACCCUUAAGCUUAGUUGCCAUCAUUAAGUUGGGCACUCUAAGUUGACUACCGGUGACAAACCGGAGGAAGGUGGGGAUGACGUCAAAUCAUCAUGCCCCUUAUGAUUUGGGCUACACACGUGCUACAAUGGACAAUACAAAGGGCAGCGAAACCGCGAGGUCAAGCAAAUCCCAUAAAGUUGUUCUCAGUUCGGAUUGUAGUCUGCAACUCGACUACAUGAAGCUGGAAUCGCUAGUAAUCGUAGAUCAGCAUGCUACGGUGAAUACGUUCCCGGGUCU